AGUGAACGCUGGCGGCGUGCUUAACACAUGCAAGUCGAACGAGAACGGAUUAUAGCUUGCUAUAAUUGUCAGCUAAGUGGCGCACGGGUGAGUAAUGUAUAGAUAACCUGCCCUCUAGAAAGGAAUAACAGUUGGAAACGACUGCUAAUGCCCUAUAUGCCUUUAAUACAUAAGUAUGCAAGGGAAACGCUUUAGUGCUAGAGGAUGGGUCUGUAUGGUAUCAGUUAGUUGGUGAGGUAAUGGCUCACCAAGACUAUGACGCCUAACUGGUUUGAGAGGAUGAUCAGUCACACUGGAACUGAGACACGGUCCAGACUCCUACGGGAGGCAGCAGUGGGGAAUAUUGCACAAUGGACGAAAGUCUGAUGCAGCAACGCCGCGUGGAGGAUGACACAUUUCGGUGCGUAAAACUCCUUUUAUAUAGGAAGAUAAUGACGGUACUAUAUGAAUAAG
rnacentral:rRNA from 1 species